rnacentral:rRNA from 1 species
GACGAACGCUGGCGGCGUGCUUAACACAUGCAAGUCGAACGGAAAGACCCUGCUUUUGUGGGGUGCUCGAGUGGCGAACGGGUGAGUAACACGUGAGUAACCUGCCCUUGACUUUGGGAUAACUUCAGGAAACUGGGGCUAAUACCGGAUAGGAGCUCCUGCUGCAUGGUGGGGGUUGGAAAGUUUCGGCGGUUGGGGAUGGACUCGCGGCUUAUCAGCUUGUUGGUGGGGUAGUGGCUUACCAAGGCUUUGACGGGUAGCCGGCCUGAGAGGGUGACCGGCCACAUUGGGACUGAGAUACGGCGCAGACUCCUACGGGAGGCAGCAGUGGGGAAUAUUGCACAAUGGGCGGAAGCCUGAUGCAGCAACGCCGCGUGCGGGAUGACGGCCUUCGGGUUGUAAACCGCUUUCGCCUGUGACGAAGCGUGAGUGACGGUAAUGGGUAAAGAAGCACCGGCUAACUACGUG